GAAAAAAAUAUUCACGCUCGUUAGGCACACGCGAAAGGGUCGUGUCAAAAUUGGCGUCGCGUGCGCGUCUCUCUCGCGGGAGUACAAAGGAAUCGAGAUUAAUCGCUGUUGAAUUUGGUUACGAUAAAAAAAGAUGUGAGUUUCGAAAAUUUUAUCCUUGUAAAAGAAAGAAGAAAAGGAAUUGCGCGUCGAAAAAAAUUAAUUUACAAUUAUAAAACAUUAUGAUUAAUAUGUACAAUAUAAUAUUGAUCUAUACUACUUAAAAUUAUAACUCUUAUUCUUACGCAAAAGGUAAGAUUUAUAUUCAUAUUAAGAGUAGCAAAAUUUUAUCAAAUUUAAGAUAUAUUAUUUAGAAAAAUAAUAAACAUAUGUAUAUAUCCUUUCGACUAUAUUUAUCGAUAAUAAACUUCGGAGAUAAUUCAUUAAAAAAUUCCCUACACUUUUUCCGAAAUUCUUUGCAUAACUGUAUGAAUAUAAAAAGUCUUUCUUUUAAAUACCAAAGUUUAAGAGAAAAAUCGUAACUAUUACUAUAACUUGCGUUGAACCUGACAUGUUCGCUCGGACGGGAUCGAUCUCGUUUUCACGAUCGAGAUUGAGGGAAAUGGGAUGGCGGCGAGUGCUGUUAAGGCAAAGGACCAUCGCAGCUGCGUUCAAAAGCCACUCUCCCAGACGAUCAGUGACCGCCAUACCGAUAUCGCCCACGAUCGUAGCCAGAAGGCAGCCCGCGGUACGCCGAGCUCCAUCGCGAGCGUUUCAAGCCGCAUACAUGCAUUCAUGUAUGAGCCGUGAGAACCUAACUGUGAACGCUCACCGUUGCUCGCCAUCGGAGAGCCAGACGGAUCCGUGGUCGACCGACUGGCCGGCGAGGUCAAAGGGCAGCGCGCCGGCCGAUUUUGCAUGAAGGCGCACUUUCGUUUUUCGACCCCACGACCCGCACGAACGACAGAAAGGAAAGGGAGAAACGCACAGAGCAAACAAGACUGAGAGACAGCAGGGAGGACGGAGAACAGAUUAUCAUGAAUACAGUGAGAGAGAGCUUUAUCGACUUUAUUCGCCACAGAUUGCCACGCGGGCGCGCGCAGAAAAGCAAUCUACGGAAAAUGCAAAUAGGAGAUUCACCAAACUUUCCCCGACUCGAUAAAUUAACCGGCUGCCAGCCUUAUCCUCCUUCCAGACCCGACCCCCGGACCAAGGGCGGCCGGUAGUGGAUGAAGUUUGCGAGACAGAAGGGGCGGAAAUAGAAAGAAUAACUGCGGAGCGAGAGAAUAGGGAAAACUACAUUAUUUAUCACCUACCUAGACUUGCAGACAUCAUUUAUCACCGCGCGAUAAAUAUUCCGUUGCUGAAAUAUCGAUACGUACGAUAAUCAAUCUUUAAACUGAUGCGCGAUUAGACGUCUACGACUGAAAUAAAUUAAAACAACUGCUCUACAACGACGGAUUCAAUUUUAAAACCAAUCUUAAUUCUUUCUGCAAUUUGCGAUUCAGUUUCAUAAUAUUUUAUUUCAAUGAUUUAGAUUUUUGAUUUUUUUUUUCACAUUCCGACUUCUCCAAAUUCGUUAGGCUGUCAAUGCUUUUUGCUUUACGCUUCCUUAUAAUUUUUUACUUGCAAACGGGAUUUUUCGUAAAUAAAGUAACACGAUCAAAAAGCCUAAUGUGUUGAGCCGUGACUAAUCGAUGAUCGCAAUAAUAAGGCUCAUCAAAAUCUUCGCGGCGAAACACUUGUCCUUGCCCUAUCGCAACGGCCAUGACCUCGCCUAACAAAUGUUUGUCGGCAUUCGAAGCUCUUCCGUCAGAGCAUACGGGGAACCCGUGACAAAAUAGAACGGACAGUGACGUAAGCUUCCGUAAAAUGCCGUGAUGUCCAGAUUGGUACCGUGAAUCGGUUUUGCUGAAUCAACGAUUAGAUCAGCGUUAAUUGGCAAUAGGUUUGAUGACGGAUGAGCCUUUCGAUUUUCAGCGGCCUUGACGCCUGCCAUGUCUUCAAUUCAACGCUAGAGCAAGUGUGUCGCAUGCAAUUUUCACCGUCAUCUUAUAAAAAGCUUUGCCGAUAUUCGAUAUUUUAAAAACACCGUAACACUACUCUAACAUGUUUUAUUUAAAUUAGUAAAUCAAAUUAUUAUGACCUCGCUGGAAAACGUUUGUCUGCACAUCGAAAAAUUGAAUACACGCUCUAAGAUAGGUAUUCGCAAAAUGCAUACAUCACAGCUUGAAUUAGAAGCUCGAGGAGUAGUUAAGAUAUACGCGCUCGAGGCAAUAAAUGCUCCGAAUGUCAGUCUUGUCGUCACAGCUGUAACUCCAGACGCAUUACUAUAAAACACCGUGAAAAUGUCAGCCGCACCGUGGAAGAUUGUAAAUUUAUCGCUGAUUGCGUUUCGCUGAGUAGCGAGUGUCUAUAAACCGCGACUAUUAAAAAAGAAAGAACCGGUCGUUCUCCGUCGGUGCUAUGCGUCAUCGUUGUUAUCAUCACCGGCCGAUUGACAGAAACGAGCCUGUACGCAUUGUCGUGUUGUAAAAAAACAUGUCAAUCCACGGAGUGUGACGUGUGAUUUGAUGAUUCUACUGCUGCGAUAGCCUUCUAUUCAAUAAUUCAUCAAUUCCAAUUAAAUCUAAUUCUCGUAAAAAAAAAAGAAACGUUUAUUUAUAAGACAAUUAUCUUUGAGCGCAGUGUAUAAUUAUGUAUAAUUAUAUUUUAAGAAAUAUGAGAAAAACUGAGUUUUUGAGUUAAA
rnacentral:lncRNA from 1 species